ensembl:lncRNA
AGAAAACUAACUUCACUCCGGUCUGCCACCAGCACAGCCAUGAACGCGGCUUGACUGUUUUGUAUUGGGUUUAUCCACCUUAACGUUUGAAGGCGGUUCGUCCGUCGCCCGCUCGGCUAGUUCUGAAAAUAUUACAGAGAAACUCAAGUGAUUGUAUUGAACUACUAGUAUCCUCACAUCGCUAUGUUCUCCAUCAGUUCAAAUAAAUCUUUGGUACUCUUGCGGUUCUGCAGCAGGGCUGCUUGUCGGACGAGGACAAGUCGCGUCAAUUGUGAACAUCAGAACUAAGGACAUUCUUGAUGAAGAUGAACGCAAAACGUGUAUGCGGGCCCAUGGAAUCGCUGCUGCUUGCCUUGUUAUCUUUCUCCCUUGUUCGAGGUCACACUACUAGCCGACCAGGUGCGAAUCCGGCGGAGGGCAAUGGUGCUGGGUUCAGUGUCGGCGGUCUGAAGUCGGUCCUGGAGAACACUGUGUCCCCUGCCUUCGGUGCCACCAUCAUCAUCAUCAUCACCGUUAUUGUGUCGGGGAGCGCCUAUCUCUGUUUCCUGAAGUACGUCUGUACGGGCUGCUGCAAAGCCACUCAGGUGGCUCCAGUCACACACCUGGACCCUAACAAGAGUGAAGAACAGGUGUAGUCAGGAAUAGGUGUAGUGUGGGACAGGUGUAGUGUGUAACGGGUGUAGUUUGUAAUGAGGUGUCGUGAAGGACAGGUGUAGUGAGGGACAGGUAUAGUGAGGUAUGGGUGUAGUGAGGUAUGGGUGUAGUGAGGGACGGGUGUAGUGAGGGACAGGUGUAGUGAGGGACAGGUGUAGUGUGUAACGGGUGUAGUGUGUAACGGGUGUAGUGAGGGACGGGUGUAGUGUGUAAUGAGGCGUAGUGAGGGACGGGUGUAGUGUGUAAUGAGGCGUAGUGAGGGACGGGUGUAGUGUGUAACAGGUGUAGUGUGUAAUGAGGCGUAGUGUGUAACGGGUGUAGUGUGGGACGGGUGUAGUGUGGGACGGGUGUAGUGUGGGACGGGUGUAGUGUGUAACGGGUGUAGUGUGUAACGGGUGUAGUGUGUAACGGGUGUAGUGAGGGACGGGUGUAGUGUGUAACGGGUGUAGUGUGUAACGGGUGUAGUGUAGGGACGGGUGUAGUGUGUAACGGGUGUAGUGAGGGACGGGUGUAGUGUGUAACGGGUGUAGUGAGGGACGGGUGUAGUGAGGGACGGGUGUAGUGAGGGACGGGUGUAUUGUAGGGAGGUGUGUGGAAUACUGACCUCAUUCUGGACCAUUCUUUCCCUGGCAUUUCAGCACUUGAUGGAAUCCUUCAGUUCAUCUCUUUCAUGUUUAAUGACUGUGAACACGAGUGAUUUAUUGAGCUCAUUGAAGAGUUGUGUGUGUAAGUGAUUACUGUUCUGAUCUUUGCCCGCCACCAACACCUCCCAUCCAAGAGACCCUCAGAGAGACAGACGGAUGUGAUUCAAAAAGAAAGGCUGCAAAAUGAUCACACACAGACAAUAGAAAAUUAAGUGGCUCAACCAAGCCUGACAUUAAUUGAGUAAACUGCCUGUGAGCCUUUGUGUCUGCAGUGGCUUAUGCAUUUGUGUGAUUAUUAAUGUGUGUUUUAUUUGUGUGGGUUUGAGUAUCUAAGUGAGUGUGUGUUUGUUUCCAAAGGGAGCAACCUGCUAUGACUGAUGUGAGAAAGUAGGAACACGUAAUUUCUGGGGAUUUCGAAACCUCACCUCCCUUUUCUGUUUUUCUUUACCUGAUCAUCUCUCUUAUUACAUUUCUUCUUUCUUCCUCCUUAUGAUACAGUACAUAAUCACACCAGAACCAAUUACAGUGCCAAGUCACCAAACAAUAGACAUUUUCAUUUAUGCUGAUUGUCUCCAUGCAAAGCUGCGUGAAGAGAAGCCAAUUGUACUUCCUUAAUCACAACAGAGACACUGUAUCAAACUAAUUAUCCUCACCCACAGAAGCUUUCAACUCAGUUUUUUUUAUAAACUCAGCUUUUGCAGUGUUGCACAGCGCGUUAUUUUCUAAAUGUGUUUUUUUGUUGAAAAUGAGUGAUUAAAAUGUCUCCAUACCCAAUCCAUCCUAAGAGGAUUUAUCUGUGAUGUGUGCCAGAAUGAAAGAUCGAAAGUGACAGGA